GCCUGUUUGGCUCAGUGGAUAGAGCGUCGGCCUGUGGACUGAAGGGUCCCAGGUUCAAUUCCUGUCAAGGGCA
rnacentral:tRNA from 1 species